rnacentral:rRNA from 1 species
CGGGUGAGUAACACGUGGAUAACCUACCUAUAAGACUGGGAUAACUUCGGGAAACCGGAGCUAAUACCGGAUAAUAUAUUGAACCGCAUGGUUCAAUAGUGAAAGACGGUUUUGCUGUCACUUAUAGAUGGAUCCGCGCCGCAUUAGCUAGUUGGUAAGGUAACGGCUUACCGAGGCAACGAUGCGUAGCCGACCUGAGAGGGUGAUAGGCCACACUGGAACUGAGACACGGUCCAGACUCCUACGGGAGGCAGCAGCA